GAUGAACGCUGGCGGCGUGCCUAGUACAUGCAAGUCGAGCGAACGGACGAGAAGCUUGCUUCUCUGAUGUUAGCGGCGGACGGGUGAGUAACACGUGGAUAACCUACCUAUAAGACUGGGAUAACUUCGGGAAACCGGAGCUAAUACCGGAUAAUAUUUUGAACCGCAUGGUUCAAAAGUGAAAGACGGUCUUGCUGUCACUUAUAGAUGGAUCCGCGCUGCAUUAGCUAGUUGGUAAGGUAACGGCUUACCAAGGCAACGAUGCAUAGCCGACCUGAGAGGGUGAGCGGCCACACUGGAACUGAGACACGGUCCAGACUCCUACGGGAGGCAGCAGUAGGGAAUCUUCCGCAAUGGGCGGAAGCCUGACGGAGCAACGCCGCGUGAGUGAUGAAGGUCUUCGGAUCGUAAAACUCUGUUAUUAGGGAAGAACAUAUGUGUAAGUAACUGUGCACAUCUUGACGGUACCUAAUCAGAAAGCCACGGCUAACUACGUG
rnacentral:rRNA from 1 species